rnacentral:rRNA from 14 species
GGCUGAUCUCCCCCAAGAGCUCACAUCGACGGGGAGGUUUGGCACCUCGAUGUCGGCUCAUCACAUCCUGGGGCUGAAGGAGGUCCCAAGGGUUGGGCUGUUCGCCCAUUAAAGCGGUACGCGAGCUGGGUUUAGAACGUCGUGAGACAGUUCGGUCCCUAUCUGCCAUGCCUGUACGAGACUUGAGAGGAGCUGCCCUUAGUACGAGAGGACCGGGGUGGACGUACCUCUAGUGGACCGGUUGUUGCGCCAGCAGCAUAGCCGGGUAGCUAUGUAUGGUCGGGAUAAACGCUGAAAGCAUCUAAGCGUGAAACCCACCUCGAAACGAGUUUUCCCUUGAGAGCCGUGGAAGACCACCACGUUGAUAGGCU